CCGGCCGGCCGCUCUCGCCACUCCUGCCGCCAGGGCAGUGAGUCCAGCAACUUCCAUUCAUCCGCUGUGAGGAGGGGCCGAGGUGGGGGAAGGAGAGGGAACUCAGAAGCUCCCACUUCGCCAGCUGCGGACAUCCCAGUCAGCUCCUUGGCCCAGACUUAUGACCUUUGCAGCCUGAGGCAGCAUCAUCCAUCACCCAGGCGGCUGCUAGUGGGAUGAGGGGCUCUGGGGGCUCACACAGGGUCGCUGUCCCUCCUGCCUCCAUCUCUUGAGACCUGCUCUCUGCCGUGGGCCAGGGCUCAAUGGGAGGGCAGCAGAUGGUGCCCAGGCUCCCGCUGCCAACCUUGCUAGGCGGUGCCAACCUCAGGCCUGGCAGACAACAAGCAGAUGAGAAGAGGAUCUCUUGGCUGGCCAGGGUGACCCUCCCCCACUCGCCAUCAAGCUCAAGACCCUCAGCCGGCCUCAUUCCAGCGGACCACCCCAGAGAUCUUGCAUCGCCCCCUGGCGGCCUAGCUCGGAACUGAGCCAGGUUCGAAAAUGGCAAGGGGCUGCCCACGGCGAAAUCGCUCAGAGCUCUGGGGAGCUACCCUGCUACUGGAUCCUGCUCCCAGCGGCAGGGGCGCGGGGACCGUGACCUCAGUCCGACUCUCUUUCUUCAUUGACGACAGAGGCCUUGCCGAGCGGACGCGUCUAUCUCCCCACCUCGCGCCAGCCUCAGCCCAGGGAAUUAUAGAGAAUCAUUCUCUACAGUACAGAAUAAACUGCGUUCCUCCACCAUGGCCUGGGAGCAGAUGAGAUGAAGAAGGCACAUGGCAGAGAGGACAAGGAGCCCAGUUUACAGGACCUAAUCUAGCACUGUACUGCCUGGAGAUGAUCAGUCAAUACCAACAACUGACCCACUGACCCUCAAGACUCAAGAAGCAUGGAAAGAAUCUGAGUAAAAGUUUGGGAUUUAGGGCCAGUCACCUGAACAGUCUAUCUAAAAGUUUUUCAGUCCCAAA